AGACCCGAAACCCGGUGAUCUAGCCAUGGGCAGGUUGAAGGUUGGGUAACACUAACUGGAGGACCGAACCGACUAAUGUUGAAAAAUUAGCGGAUGACCUGUGGCUGGGGGUGAAAGGCCAAUCAAACCGGGAGAUAGCUGGUUCUCCCCGAAAGCUAUUUAGGUAGCGCCUCGUGAAUUCAUCUCCGGGGGUAGAGCACUGUUUCGGCUAGGGGGCCAUCCCGGCUUACCAACCCGAUGCAAACUGCGAAUACCGGAGAAUGUUAUCACGGGAGACACACGGCGGGUGCUAACGUCCGUCGUGAAGAGGGAAACAACCCAGACCGCCAGCUAAGGUCCCAAAGUCAUGGUUAAGUGGGAAACGAUGUGGGAAGGCCCAGACAGCCAGGAUGUUGGCUUAGAAGCAGCCAUCAUUUAAAGAAAGCGUAAUAGCUCACUGGUCGAGUCGGCCUGCGCGGAAGAUGUAACGGGGCUAAACCAUGCACCGAAGCUGCGGCAGCGAACGUAUCACUUAAAGCGAUUCAGCGGGUUACGAUUGACGGAG
rnacentral:rRNA from 2 species